rnacentral:rRNA from 1 species
CAGUAGCCGCGGGAAUACGUAGGGUGCAAGCGUUGUCCGGAAUUAUUGGGCGUAAAGAGCUCGUAGGCGGUUUGUCGCGUCUGCUGUGAAAUCCCGAGGCUCAACCUCGGGCUUGCAGUGGGUACGGGCAGACUAGAGUGCGGUAGGGGAGAUUGGAAUUCCUGGUGUAGCGGUGGAAUGCGCAGAUAUCAGGAGGAACACCGAUGGCGAAGGCAGAUCUCUGGGCCGUAACUGACGCUGAGGAGCGAAAGCGUGGGGAGCGAACAGGAUUAGAUACCCCAGUAGUCCCUGUCUCUUAUAA